CUGCAACAGGAUGCAUUUGCCCUGGGGGAAGGCAAUCCAUCAAAACUGCCUCUUCCCCACCCCUUGUUUUGUCUGCUUUGCUGAUGGAUUAGUCCUAUAACUCGGCUUCCCUGGGCACAGCUGGAGCCCGGCGCAAGGGAAGCUUCUUGUAUUCAUUCUGCUUGUUUCCUGACUUUCAGCCCAAAUCUGAGCCUCUUUGUUAAACAGGUUGGAUUUUCUGGCAGAUUUGCAGGGGUGACGGAGGGGAGCAGAUGGGCAGGAGCUUCAGCUCCUCUCCUUAUCCCAAGGGACCAUCCUCGGGGGGAAAAAGAAGCAGGAUGCUCUUUAAAGUUGGUAAAUAAGAUCUCAAUUUGAAUCCACCUCUGUUGAUACGAGUCUGCUGAGAAGAUGAAAAUCAGUCGUUUGCCUGGAGCCACCACUGUCCCAGGCAGGGUCUGUGUGGAGGAGGCUCGGGGUGCAGCGCUGCUAUUUAUACAGCACCGGGAAGCGCUGCGAGGUUGUGCUUGGCGGGGUGAAGAGCUUGUGAUCUCGGAGCACUUUGGGAUGUCAGACACUCCUGAGUUCUGCUUCGUGUGGCAGGAAAAGACUUCAGGAUGUUCCCUUCGUUUUGUGGUGUGGCAGAGCAGGGAAAAUUCACCCAAUGAUGGGCACUGCUAG
rnacentral:lncRNA from 1 species